rnacentral:rRNA from 1 species
AUUGAACGCUGGCGGCAGGCCUAACACAUGCAAGUCGAACGAGCGGCGCACGGGGGAGUAAAGUGUGGGAAAAUGUGUGUUGGGGGGGGAUAACUCCUGGAAAAGGUAUCUAUAACCGCGUACCAUCAGAUGUGCGCCGAUGGGAUUGGCUAGUAGGUGGGGUAACGGCUCACCUAGGCGACGAUCCCUAGCUGGGCUGAGAGGAUGACCAGCCACACUGGAACUGAGACACGGUCCAGACUCCUACGGGAGGCAGCAGUGGGGAAUAUUGCACAAUGGGCGCAAGCCUGAUGCAGCCAUGCCGCGUGUGUGAAGAAGGCCUUCGGGUUGUAAAGCACUUUCAGCGGGGAGGCGUUACCCGCAGAAGAAGCACCGGCUAACUCCGUGCCAGCAGCCGCGGUAAUUC